rfam:Camelus ferus unplaced genomic scaffold scaffold291, whole genome shotgun sequence.
GGGGGGAUGGUACAGCUGGAGUGGUAGAGCGCAUGCUUAGCAUGCAUGAGGUCCUGGGUCCAAUCCCUAGUGCCCCCU